AUGUUCUGUUUGAGACUAGCAAUAAUGAAGUUUUGAACGAAAGCAUAUUGAGUCCAGUCAUGGUAAUGAUGUUUCUAGAAAUGGUCUUAAUGAUGUUGAUGCCAUUUCUGGAAACAGCAGUGGUGAUGAUCUGAAUAUGAUGGCGCCAAUUGCAGUUUCAGACAAAAAGCAGAACAAUAAUGCUCCAGCUCGGAAGCAGGGAGAAGAUGUGAAGGCUGCUGUUGAAUUUGCCAAGCACAUAUCUCGUGCCAACCCAAAAGAUGUGAAGGCUGAUAUAGAUAGGGAAAGGAGCAGACUGCAGACAUUCUAGUGGCAAACAGAAUUUGAGAGAUCGAGAUUGGAAUGAUGAUGAGAGUAGCCGUUCAAAAGAUGAAAGUAGGGAGAAGAUGCAUGAUAGGAAUAUUGAUCGGGAAAAAGGCAGAGAAGAUAAACCAAAAACUGGAAAUAAGAAAUUAUUGGAUGCCAAGCAGUUGAUUGAUAUGAUUCCAAAAACAAAAGAACUGUUUGUCUAUGAAAUUAAUUGGGAUGUUUAUGACAAGCAUCACUUGCAUGAGAGGAUGAGACCUUGGAUCUCAAAGAAGAUAACUGAGUUCCUUGGAGAAGAGGAGGCCACUUUGGUGGACUACAUUGUUUCCUGUAUUAAAGAUCACGUACAAGCAUCCACAAUGCUAGAAAUGCUUCAGUCUAUAUUAGAUGAUGAGGCAGAAAUGUUUGUCCUCAAAACGUGGA